ACAGGUGGCUGCAUGGCUGUCGUCAGCUCGUGUCGUGAGAUGUGGGUUAAGUCCCGCAACGAGCGCAACCCUUGCCUUUAGUUGCCAGCAGUUCGGCUGGGCACUCUAAAGGGACUGCCGGUGUUAAACCGGAGGAAGGUGGGGAUGACGUCAAGUCCUCAUGGCCUUUAUGACCAGGGCUACACACGUACUACAAUGGCCGAUACAAAGGGCAGCGACACUGCGAGGUGAAGCCAAUCCCGUAAAAUCGGUCUCAGUCCGGAUUGGAGUCUGCAACUCGACUCCAUGAAGUUGGAAUCGCUAGUAAUCGUGGAUCAGCAUGCCACGGUGAAUACGUUCCCGGGCCUU
rnacentral:rRNA from 1 species